GAUGAACGCUGGCGGCGUGCCUAACACAUGCAAGUCGAGCGAACAGACGAGGAGCUUGUGCCUUCGACGUUAGCGGCGGGCGGGCGAGUAACACGUAUAUCAGCUACUUCUAUUUCGGGGGUGAUUACGGGAGGCCGGAUACAAUAACGGAGAAUAUUUCGCACCGCAUGGUUCGAUGGAGAUUGUGGGCUUUGGUGACUGUAAUAGCUGCUGCUGGGCUGUAUUGGUUGGUGGGUAGGGUAACGCCUUACCAAGGCGACGAUACGUAGCCGAGCUGAGAGGAUGAUCGGCCACACUGGAACUGAGACACGGUCCAGACUCCUACGGGAGGCAGCAGUAGGGAAUGUUAGGCAAUGGGCGAAAGCCUGACGCAGCAACGCCGCGUGGGUGAUGAAGGCCUUCGGAUCGUAAAGCCCUUUUAUUGGGGAAGAACAGCCGUAGAAGGAAACGUAGACGUUUUGACGGUACCUAAUCAAAAAGCCACGGCUAACUACGUG
rnacentral:rRNA from 1 species